GGAGCAAGGAAUGACUUUAGCAUAGCUUGUCUACCGUUUUGUUCUCCGAUGAUGUCCCACUUCCUGACCACUCUGAUGCUCCUGCUGCUGAUGCUGUCUGCUCCAGUGACCACCCAGCAGAACCACCAUCAUCUCCAAAAGAUGACAUGGAUCAAUGCCGCCAAUAGAGAUGCCCUCAACAGCACCACGAAUGACCUCAGACCUGAUGGCCCACACUCUUCUUCGACCUCUCUGACCUGGCCCAAGGAUCUUGGGACAUGGGAGACUGGACUUCUCAUCAAGGAUGGCCUGAAUGAGAGGGUUGUGGGGGGUGCCACCUGCCCCACAUAUCAGACCCCCAAUCCCUAGGCUGCUCCCAAUGUUCCCAAUAGGGCAGCCUUAAGGGUCACUGACUUUUACAUAUGCCCAGGGAGCAAUUGAACAGCAAUGGGCAUAUCCAAUGUGGUGGGGUGGACGCCUUCUACUGUGCACAAUGGAGGUGUGAGAAAAUGGGAACGGACUCCUGGAUAAGGUAAUCUCUACCCCGUUGGGUGCCUUUUUAGAAACAACCUUAAUUUGUGUCUUUGGGCCUUGCCUUUUCAAUAGGCUGGUCAGACUAAUCAGAACAAAGACUCAAGAAACCCAACUGAUGACCCCUCGAGUACACUGUGAUAGGCUCAGCCCUGAGGAUAUCUCCCUUUUGAGUGAACUUUGACAAAAGGUGCUAUAGGAGGUGAUCCUCUACGGAGGUGUCAAGAGGCCUGUACUUCGAGAUGAGAUGGGCCACAGUCUAAAACAAAAAAGGGGAAUCUGUAGGGCACACAAGCCAGCCAAAGAUGGUGCUGAGGGGAAGUCAGAUGGGCGAGUCCUGAGUUGUUUACAAAAAAAGAUGAUUGGUUGCCUAGAUUGAACCAGAUGAGGUCAUUGCAGGAACAGCAUGUGUUCACUAGGUAAAGCCUAGGGCACCCAGGGGCUUGAUAGGCUGGCCUUUAAAACCAUUGGCUGGCUGUUUUCCUGCUCUGCAGUUUUUUUCCUUUAAAAGAUGCUUGCUGUGUGGUAAUAAAUGAGUUCCUGCUUGACUAGA